AGCAUAGCAGCCUUUGUGACUGCAUUUAUCAUCCUGUCUCUGGCCACUGUUCUUCCACAGGAGUCCAGAGGGACUCUCAGAAAUGUUUGCAAUCCCUAGGCCUUUAAGAGUUAUUUGGGUCCUUUGUGACAUCACAUGCCCCUUGAAACUUGUUAUUUCUGUAAAGGAAGCUUCCUAGCAGCUUCUCUUGGGGCAACCAGGAGGGCUGAAGCUACAUCUCAGAGUUCCGAGGUUGAACCCCUGACUCCUGCUUCCUGGGAAGAUGAGGAUUUGGAAACAGAAUGUAGAAGAUUAAAUCAAGUCUUUAAAGUUGGACCUCGCCCACCCAGCCUGCUGGCAGGUGGCCAUGAGCCCAGAGGUGAGGGGCUGAGUGAGGCCACUGCAGAAGGCUGUCCUAUGAAGGCCAGCAGAGAACCAAACUGUGGACAGCUGGAUCUGGACCUGGUGGCCUGCAGAACCAGGAAUGUACAUUUCUGCAUAGUAAGCGACCCAGUCCAUGCUGUUUUGUUUUGGCUGCCUAGAAACUAAUAAAUUAAUCUUCUGUGAAACAAUUGCACUUGAGAGCAGUGAAACCUUAGAAGAAUAUGAAGUAGAAUGAUGGAACAAAAGAGGAGGCAGGGGCAGUAGUGCCUACCUCAGUAUACAGCUAUGUGGGAGGUGGAGGCAGGAGGAUCCCUUGAGCCCAGAACUUCCAGGCUGGUUUGAGCGUCAUAGGGAGACCCCAUCUCAAAAAAUGAAAUAAACAAAUGAAAGACAAAA